rnacentral:rRNA from 1 species
UAAUACGUAGGGGGCGAGCGUUGUCCGGAAUUAUUGGGCGUAAAGGGUUCGCAGGCGGUCUGAUAAGUCAGAUGUGAAAGGCAAUGGCUCAACCAUUGUAAGCAUUUGAAACUGUCAGACUUGAGUUAAGGAGAGGAAAGUGGAAUUCCUAGUGUAGCGGUGAAAUGCGUAGAUAUUAGGAGGAAUACCAGUGGCGAAGGCGACUUUCUGGACUUAUACUGACGCUGAGGAACGAAAGCGUGGGGAGCAAACAGGAUUAGAUACCCUGGUAGUCCACGCCGUAGGCGAUGAGUGCUAGGUGUUGGGGGUCAAACCUCGGUGCCGCAGCUAACGCAUUAAGCACUCCGCCUGGGGAGUACGUACGCAAGUAUG